UGAAAAGAAAAAAAAGGCGGAUGAUCAUGUGAAAAAAAGAAAAAAAAAUUAGCGCUUUUCACAGACUAUUUCUUUUUACCAUAGACAUUCAAUUCAUCUUCUCAAUUCUCUUUUUCAAACUUCUUCACCCAUCUUCCAUUCUUCUUCGAUUUGCGACUCCAUCUUCUACUUCUCCUUCGAUUUGCAACUCAACCUUCGACUUCUCCUUCACUUUGCAACUCCAUCUCUGACUUCUCCUUCGAUUUACAGCUCCAUCUUCGACUUCUCCUUCAAUUUUUUCUCUAUCUUCAACUUCUCCCUUGAUUUGUUGCUCCAUCUUUGACUUCUCCUUCGAUUUUGGGCUUCUUCUUCAAUUUACAACUCCAUCUCCGACUUCUCCUUUGAUUUGCAACUCCGUCUCCGACUUCUCCUUCAUCUUCGACUUAGAGAUUCAGCGUAUGCAGACAUUUACAAAGACUCAAGUUUAACUCAAGAGGAUCAAGCACUGGAAGAAAUCGGGUUCCGAUGGUAAGAAAAAUCUCCCUAUCUUUUCUAUGUUGCCUUUUUUAAUUAGGGGUUCAGGGUUACUCUAUAAAUUUUAGAAUUUUUCCAUCCAUUAGAGUUUUAACCGAAAAGGAUUUCAGCAAUAGUGACUUAUAAAGCUGGAAGAGAGAAAAUAAACAUUAGUUGAAACUCGUGCAAAGCUUGUGUGGUUCAUUCUUGGGAAAGCGGUGAGACGAAAAGUGUAGAGAACUCGAUUGUUGUGGUUCGGUGUUGGAUUUGCAACCACAGUUGCUUCCAUUUCGCAAUUUGCCUUGCAAGAUCUAUUGGCCCAUGCAUGUGCUCUUUCAUCUGAUAUGGAGCGAAAUUUUGAUGCCCUGGAAGCUAGAAUCUCGAGUCUCAAGUUAGCACACAGGAGGGAAGCAGUCUCAUGAGGUGUCUUGUAGAUGGAAUUUUGUACCAACAAUUACGCAGGAUAAAACCCUAUGUAAAAGGUAUAACUCCUAUUAUUUUUUCCCUAAAUAAAAAUGGAGUAUUUUGUAUAAAAAGUGAGCUUUUAUUUUUUACACAAUUAUCCUACUUGAUCACUUGAUAGGCGAGGCCUUGCAAGCCUUUCAUUGUUGAGUUGAAUUGGAAAAAGAAAAAUAAACAUCACAAGUUUUCAAGGAAAUUUAUUGGUGCAGAAUCAAUGGUUCAAUACUUUGUAUACUUCUUGAUAUAUACCAUUACAAAUGACUUAGGAAAAAAUAUCUAUGGAAAGAUCUUGGACAAUGAGAAUACAUAAGGUAUACAAAUUAAUUAAAUAUAAAGAAAGGAAAGUGGGACUAAUGAGAAAAUAAUGGAUAAUUCUCUCCAACGGAAAAUUUCAUAUCCGAUGUUUUGCUCCAUUACUUAUUGAUAAGGGAUAUAAUUGGGGAAUGAUCGAUUAGUUUGCUGAUUUAUCUCUAGCUAAUUGAUUCCCCAAUAUUUGGUGAGCUUGGAUUUUACUCGAAUAUAUAUGUUGUGAUUUGACUUUGCAUCAAGUAUAAAUAUAACUGUAGUUUCAUUCUUCACCCAUGAGAUGGCUUGUUGUUAACAUCGUCUUUUCGUACUUCUUUAAUACGUUUGGUUUAGCAUGUGAAGGAUUAAAGUUACACUUGGUAGGUAUUAUUUAAUUUAGAUAAAAGAGUUGCAUUACUUGUUGCAUUUAGUAAUUAAUUUGAACUAUAUAAAUCCACCUUUGGAGUUUAGACUUCUUUGCAAUUAAUGGUUUCACAGUGAUUUCUCUUCUCAAAGUUACCAAAGGUGACUUGGAAUUACUUCUCUCAGUCUCUGUGGAAGAUUUUUUAUUGUUUCUUGUUCUUUUGAACUCUGUGUGAUAGGUCUUUCAGACUUGAAUGCUUUUGUGAAGGUUCUUCUAAUUUCUUUAGCUAUAGUCUCUUUUGUUUCAUUAUUUCUUACAUGAUUUUGGAGAUCGAUGAAUAAUCGGUGACCUCUUUGGUUUGUAAUAUUCUCACUUGAACAACAAUUAAAAGAGGUAUGAUAAAUGUUUCUUGUUGAUGUCUUUCAAGAAAUUUUAUUUAGCUUUGUUUGUGGAGAUAAGGAGGUCACAAGUUCUUGAAAUGAUCCCAUUGGUUUAUUGGACUCUUAAACUAUAGAACAAAUAUUUCUUUAUGCUUACUUUGGACAAAAACUUUGUCAUGACCGUGGGGGGGUAGGUUAUUGAUAUUUAAUGUGGACGAUAUGAUCUCUCUUUUCUUUUAAUUUUUUGCUUGGUUUAAUUUUAGACUUAAAGUGAGCAUCAGGAAGUUUUCAUUCUAUGGUUUCUCUUGAAAUGUUUAAUGUAAGUGAGAUUUUAAGUCAGUUCAUCCGGUAGAUUAGUCAUGCAUAUGAGAUAGUGUAAUAAGUUAGGAGAUUAUAGGUAGCUUGUAAAUGUUUCUCUAUUUGUCCUCUCCAUCGUUCUCCUUCAUUCAUUUAUGGUUUACGCAUCUUUAAAGAGAAAUCCUAGUGAUGAUCAUCUAUCAUUUGGGCAUCAUCUUCUCCAUCAUUCACCAACUGGGUAAAAUUUUUUCUUUACUUCUUAUUGUUCUCGUAAUUUUUUUCUUCUAUUUUCGUCAAUCUACCCUUCAGCUUCUACCCCUUUUCUCCAUUUAGGGUUUUAUUUUGUUAAAAACUUUUUCCAUCAUUUACCCUUUUUCUUUCUCUCUCCAUCAGUUCCUCUCACUCUCUCUUUAUUGUUGGUAUGCUAAUGGAGAAUAGAUCCUAAACAAUUUUCGAUGAGCGAAAUAGAUCUUAAAGAUUUAGUGAACUCUAACCUUAUUUUGAGAGGUUAAUGAAUUUAUAUGUUGCAUAUUUCCCCCUUCCGCAGUAGGGCAUCCUGCAACUGAAGAUGAAAUAUCACAUGGCUUCAAAAACUAUGGGUUAAUGCUAGUUUUUCUCUAGCUUCUGAGGCUAAUUUAUUUCCUUAGUUCACAAAAUUAUUGGAAGAAUAAAAACUCAUCAAAAUUUCAUAUUGGGUGCUUGAAGCUUGAAAAAUGUUGCAGAGUACAAGUAAUUAGAUGUUUUCUUGUGAUGCAAUAUAUUUUUUCUUUCCAAUUACUGAAGUCACUUCCUUGAAAUAGUUUUAAUUGAAGUUAUAAUAAAUAAAAAUUAGCUUAAAAAUUAUGCCUGUUGGACUGUGUAGAAACAUUCAAACUCUAAUGGAAAAAUAGAAAAUGAAGUUACGAACUGAGGUCUAAAUUUGAAGCAUAUUGAUGGUUGUUCCUUAGUUUUAAAGGAUCAAGAGAACUAUUGUUUCAAUUUAGAACUUGCUUUAAUUUUUGUCUUCAAUUUGGCAAUGAAUUCAAAAAAUUAAUUUGAUAGAUAUGUGGCUACCGCUAUCUUUAUAUGUAUUUUCUUUUACUUUCCUGUGCAUGUCUUAUGCUAGUUACAUAUAUAUUUCGUAUCAAAUAGUUAUAAUCAACUUGCGAUGGACAUAGAGAAGAGAACAUUUGGAUACUUGUUACGUAUGUUCUUUGCAUCUUGAUUAAUUUUGCUUAUGUUCUUUGCAUAUUUACAUCUUCAACAUUGGAUAUUUCUUACUUUGAAUGCAUCUUCAUUAAUUUUAUUAUGUUCUUUGGCUACAAUGAGGUUGGUGUUUUCGUUGAUUUGUUUAGAUUAACUGACAAGUUUUGUUUCAUGUUUGUAUUAAUGGUUCAUUAAUCUUAUUAUGUUCUUUGGCUUCAUUAGAUUAAAUAAUAAGCUUUGUAUCAUUAAUCUUAUUAUGUUCUUUGGCUUCAUUUGAAAAUCCUUACUCCAGGAACUACAAAAUCCAGGUGUAUGCUAGUUAUAAUAGUUAUUGCCAUAUUUUAUCUCAUUUUCUCUUCAAUGUCACAAUCUCUCUUCAAUGUCAAGUUUUUUUAUGGUACCGCUUGUUUAUUAGAUGAUGACAAUUGAUAAUCUAGAAGGACUACAAAGUGUUUGGGAAAGUUGGUGAAAACAAAAUCCAAUCAACGGCAGAUUCUUGAUAGCCCUAUCCCUAUCAAAAUAACAAAACAUGAGAACAUUUUGAAAGCAUGUUUAGUCAAAAGAUAUGGAUGAUUAGUAAGUUCCAAGAUUACUUAAACACCUACUAUUGCCUAAGCUAUGCAUUUUGUUUCCUUUAGUGCAACUUUAAUUAUUACAAUCGAUACCCUAUGUUAAACCUUCUAGAUAGUUCUUAGAUAGCUCUUAGAGUUAAGUUAUAGUUUUCCAAGAAAAUUUCUUUUGAGUUUCAGCAUAAUGUUUGUGGUAGGUCAAGAGAAUAUGUGUAUCUUUAUAGUUCUUUUGACACACAAGGUGGAGUUUCUUCUUAAAGUUGAAAACUUCUCUUACUUCUCUAAACAAAAGGAUAAUAGAAGAUACAAAAAAGAAGGGCAUGGUUGAAUUAAUAAAGGUUGUCUUUGUCGACGCCAAACUCACUGUCAGUCUCUCUCUCUCUCUGACACUUUCCAUUUCCCUUCUACUUCUCAAUUGUUGCACUUCUUUCUUCUUUUAACAUAACAAUCGUUUAAGCUACCAAUCAAUGAUUUUUUUUUUUUUUUUUUUUUUUUACAUUUAAAUGAAAUUGCUUGGGUUCCAUGAUUUGAGAUUUCAGAACUAAAAGCUCUCUAGAUAAUACGGUGGAUUUUUAUGUUUUUUUUUUUUUUUUGAUGUUAUCAGAUUCUUUUUUUUUUCUUCUUCUUAAUUUUUAUAUUGCUCAUUUGGCAUUCAGACUCAUUUGUUCUUAUAAAGUCAGGAAGAAUAUUUUAAUGGCACUCUGUAUCGGAAUGACAUGUAGAUCUUUGAGGUAAGUUCAGGUCAAGAUUUUUUGGGUCAGUUUGCAUUUGUCCUUGUUGGUUCUAUGGUUUCUUCAAAAUUCUAGCAUUUGUUGUCUGGUUUGGUUGAGGUGUAGAAGACAUUUUUUUUAUGGAGAAUCAAAUCUUUGGUCAUCUGUAGGUUUAUAUGAGAAUUUUCUAAUAGGUUUUGGAGAGCUUUGAAACCUCAACCAAGGGCCAUAUUGUGCUGGAAACCAAGUUUCAGGUUAGUUAAAAUUUCCUGUGUCUAUUUGAGUUUUUCACUUCUUUGUCACUUUGAUUAUAGGGGAGAAGAUGAAUUUGUCAAUGGUUCUAAAGAUCUUAAAGGUGGAGAAGUAUGGUGGAGAUCUUGAAGGUUCUUCAAGGUUUCGAUGUUCACCACUUUCAAGGGGGAAGAUGGAUCUUUAAAUGGUUUUAAAUAUCACUUCGAACAGAAAGGGAAGAAUGUUUUUGCAUUGAUACUUCGUUGAUGUUACCUCACGAAGGAGGAUCUUGGAGGGAUCUUGAACACUCUAUUAUUAGCUCACGAAGGAGGAUCUUGGAGGGAUCUUGAACACUCUAUUAUUAGCUAUGUGUUUAUUUAUUUAUUUUUUUUAAUAGGUGUCCAUCAAAAUGUACAAAUCAACUUUCAAAAGAAAUAUAUAUUGGGAGAUCAAAGAGAAUCUUAAGAAUUAACACAGAGAAGACCUGCAAAAUAUUUUAUUUACUUGUAAAAAUAAACAUGAAAGAUACAUUAAUUUA